GACGAACGCUGGCGGCGUGCCUAAUACAUGCAAGUGGGACGCAAGGAAACACACUGUGCUUGCACACCGUGUUUUCUUGAGUCGCGAACGGGUGAGUAACGCGUAGGUAACCUGCCUAUUAGCGGGGGAUAACACUGGGAAACGUUACCUAUAACCGCUUAAUAUUCAUUAUUCCAUGUUAAUUGAUUGAAAUUUGCACGCGCAUACCUAGUAGAGGGACCUACUCUGUAUUAGCUAGUUGGUAAGGUAAGAGCUUACCAAGGGAACGAUACAUAGCCGACCUGAGAGGGUGAUCGGCCACACUGGAACUGAGACACGGUCCAGACUCCUACGGGAGGCAGCAGUAGGGAAUCUUCGGCAAUGGGCGAAAGUCUGACGGAGCAACGCCGCGUGAGUGAAGAAGGUUUUCGGAUCGUAAAGCUCUGUUGUAAGGGAAGAACGUAUGUGAAAGUGAAUAGUCCAGUCAGUACGGGUAGUUUACAAGAAAGCGCCGGUUACCUACGU
rnacentral:rRNA from 1 species